rnacentral:lncRNA from 1 species
ACAGUAGGAAUUGGAGUCGGGGGGAGGGGACGGGGUUGGGGGGAAUUACCAUUAGCAGUUGAAGUGGUAGGAAAUUUUUACAUAGGAGAGUAUGGUGAUCAUAUUUGCAUUUUAGAAAAUAAUGGAUAGCAGUUUGUUAGGGGAACAAAGGACAGAGACAGGGAGACUAUUUAAAACAUUAAUAAAAAAUACCAGUGACAGAUGAUGAGGCACCUACCUGAUGGGAAUGGAGAAGAGGAGAUGGAUUCAGAAACUACUUAGGAGAGGCAGGCAGUCCAAGGCUGAUGCCCAAAGAAGCCAUCAAGACCCGUGCUACUUCCAGCUCCUUCUGUCCUCAUAAUCAUAGAUGAUUGCUCCACAUCCAGAGUCUCGCUCAGUUUCCAGGCUGGAGUGUAAUGGCGUGAUCUUGGCUCACUGCAACCUCUGCCUCCCAGCUUCAAGUGAUUCCCCUGCUUUAGCCUCCCAAGCAGCUGGGACUACAGGCAUGCACCAGCAUGGCCGGCUAAUUUUUUUUUGUAUUUUAGUACAGAUGGGGUUUAACCAUGUUGGCCAGGAUGAUCUUGAUCUCCUGACCUCGUGAUCUGCCCACCUCGGCCUCCCAAAGUGCUAGGAUUACAGGCGUGAGCCACCUUGCCCGGCCUUCUAUUCCUUUUUCUAAUGCAUUUGCCCCAGCUAUCUGUAUAGCCUGCAAUCUGGUAGAUGGACCACAGGGAAACCACUGCAGCAAACUAAAAGUGUCUAUCUCAGAUCCUUCCACCACCAUCAUUUCCAAAAUCACCGUCACUAUCUCCACCACCAUCACCUUUACCACCAUCACCACUAUCAUCCUCAUCCUUCCCAUCACCAUCUCCACUGCUAUCUCUCAACACCAUCAUCAUCACCACCACCACCAUCAUCACCAUGAGCACCACCUCUGUCGUCAUCAAAAAAGCACACAGUUCAGGCUGGCCUGUUGGAGGAUAACAGAUCAUGUGGAGCAGAGACGAGCUGGCCCACCUCAGGCCCUACCAGAGCAAUCAGCUUGCCAAACACGACAUACAUCAGCGAGGCCAUCCUAGACCAUCCAGCCCUAGCUGAGCCAGCCCAGACCAGAGACUCAUGAGAAACAGUAAAAUGUUCAUCAUUUUAAGCCACUAGAUUUUGUGGUGGUUUGUUAUACACCAAAAGCUAACUGAUACAGGGACCA